GACGAACGCUGGCGGCGUGCUUAACACAUGCAAGUCGAACGGAAAGGCCCUGCUUUUGUGGGGUGCUCGAGUGGCGAACGGGUGAGUAACACGUGAGUAACCUGCCCUUGACUUUGGGAUAACUUCAGGAAAUUGGGGCUAAUACCGGAUAGGAGCUCCUGCUGCAUGGUGGGGGUUGGAAAGUUUCGGCGGUUGGGGAUGGACUCGCGGCUUAUCAGCUUGUUGGUGGGGUAGUGGCUUACCAAGGCUUUGACGGGUAGCCGGCCUGAGAGGGUGACCGGCCACGUGAGUACUGAGAUACGGACCAGACUCCUACGGGAGGCAGCAGGGGGGAAUAUUGCACAAUGGGCGGAAGCCUGAUGCGGCAACGCCGCGUGCGGGAUGACGGCCUUCGGGUUGUAAACCGCUUUCGCCUGUGACGAAGCGGGAGUGACGGUAAUGGGUAAAGAAGCACCGGCUAACUACGUG
rnacentral:rRNA from 1 species